rnacentral:rRNA from 1 species
AUACGUAGGGGGCGAGCGUUGUCCGGAAUGAUUGGGCGUAAAGGGCGCGUAGGCGGCCCGGUAAGUCUGGAGUGAAAGUCCUGUUUUUAAGAUGGGAAUUGCUUUGGAUACUGUCGGGCUUGAGUGCAGGAGAGGUAAGUGGAAUUCCCCGUGUAGCGGUAAAAUGCGUAGAGAUUGGGAGGAACACCAGUGGCGUAGGCGACUUACUGGACUGUAACUGACGCUGAGGCGCGAAAGUGUGGGGAGCAAACAGGAUUAGAUACCCUGGUAGUCCACACUGUAAACGAUGAAUGCUAGGUGUAAGAGGUAUCGACCCCUUUUGUGCCGGAGUCAACACAAUAAGCAUUCCGCCUGGGGAGUACGGCCGCAAGGUUGAAACUCAAAUGAAUUGACGGGG